AUUGAACGCUGGCGGAAUGCUUUACACAUGCAAGUCGAACGGCAGCAUAGGUGCUUGCACCUGAUGGCGAGUGGCGAACGGGUGAGUAAUACAUCGGAACGUGCCCAGUCGUGGGGGAUAACGUAGCGAAAGUUACGCUAAUACCGCAUACGAUCUAAGGAUGAAAGCGGGGGACCGUACGGCCUUGCGCGAUUGGAGCGGCCGAUGUCAGAUUAGGUAGUUGGUGAGGUAAAGGCUCACCAAGCCGACGAUCUGUAGCUGGUCUGAGAGGACGACCAGCCACACUGGACUGAUACACGGCCCAGACUCCUACGGGAGGCAGCAGUGGGGAAUUUUGGACAAUGGACGCAAGUCUGAUCCAGCCAUCCCGCGUGUAGGACGAAGGCCUUCGGGUUGUAAACUGCUUUUGUACGGAACGAAAAAGCUCUUACUAAUACUAGGAGUCCAUGACGGUACCGUAAGAAUAAGCACCGGCUAACUACGUGCCAGCCGCCGCCGUAA
rnacentral:rRNA from 1 species